rnacentral:rRNA from 1 species
GACGAACGCUGGCGGCGCGCCUAACACAUGCAAGUCGAACGAGCGAGCGAGAGCUUGCUUUCUCGAGCGAGUGGCGAACGGGUGAGUAACGCGUGAGGAACCUGCCUCAAAGAGGGGGACAACAGUUGGAAACGACUGCUAAUACCGCAUAAGCCCACGACCCGGCGUCGGGGAGUGGGAAAAGGGGCCAUCGGGUUUGAGAUGGCCUCGCGUCCGGUUGGCUAGUUGGGGAGGUAACGGCCCACCGAGGCGACGAUCGGUAGCCGGAAGGAGAGGUUGAACGGCCACAUUGGGACUGAGGCCCGGCCCAGACUCCUACGGGAGGCAGCAGAGGUGAAUAUUGCACAAUGGGGGAAACCCUGAUGCAGCGACGCCGCGUGGAGGAAGAAGGUCUUCGGAUUGUAAACUCCUGUUGUUGAGGAAGAUAAUGACGGUACUCAACAAAGAAGUAACGGCUAACUACGUG